rnacentral:rRNA from 1 species
UGGGGAAUAUUGCACAAUGGGCGCAAGCCUGAUGCAGCCAUGCCGCGUGUAUGAAGAAGGCCUUCGGGUUGUAAAGUACUUUCAGCGGGGAGGAAGGGAGUAAAGUUAAUACCUUUGCUCAUUGACGUUACCCGCAGAAGAAGCACCGGCUAACUCCGUGCCAGCAGCCGCGGUAAUACGGAGGGUGCAAGCGUUAAUCGGAAUUACUGGGCGUAAAGCGCACGCAGGCGGUUUGUUAAGUCAGAUGUGAAAUCCCCGGGCUCAACCUGGGAACUGCAUCUGAUACUGGCAAGCUUGAGUCUCGUAGAGGGGGGUAGAAUUCCAGGUGUAGCGGUGAAAUGCGUAGAGAUCUGGAGGAAUACCGGUGGCGAAGGCGGCCCCCUGGACGAGGACUGACGCUCAGGUGCGAAAGCGUGGGGAGCAAACAGG